rnacentral:tRNA from 1 species
GCCGCGGUAGCUCAGCCUGGGAGAGCAAUCGGCUGAAGACCGAUGUGUCGCAGGCUCAAAUCCUGCCCGCGGCA